rnacentral:tRNA from 1 species
UCCCUGGUGGUCCAGUGGUUAAGACUCUGAGCUUUCAAUGCAGGGGGCUGGGGUUCGAUUCCUGGUUGGGGAA